GACGAACGCUGGCGGCGUGCUUAACACAUGCAAGUCGAACGGAAAGGCCCUGCUUUUGUGGGGUGCUCGAGUGGCGAAAGGGUGAGUAACACGUGAGUAACCUGCCCUUGACUUUGGGAUAACUUCAGGAAACUGGGGCUAAUACCGGAUAGGAGCUCCUUCUGCAUGGUGGGGGUUGGAAAGUUUCGGCGGUUGGGGAUGGACUCGCGGCUUAUCAGCUUGUUGGUGGGGUAGUGGCUUACCAAGGCUUUGACGGGUAGCCGGCCUGAGAGGGUGACCGGCCACAUUGGGACUGAGAUACGGCCCAGACUCCUACGGGAGGCAGCAGUGGGGAAUAUUGCACAAUGGGCGGAAGCCUGAUGCAGCAACGCCGCGUGCGGGAUGACGGCCUUCGGGUUGUAAACCGCUUUCGCCUGUGACGAAGCGUGAGUGACGGUAAUGGGUAAAGAAGCACCGGCUAACUACGUG
rnacentral:rRNA from 1 species